UGUGGAUGGUUUUGGGAAGAAAGAUGACUUCUUGUAUCUGACACAGCUACAGCUACCAAUCUCCUGACUUACCUUGUUGGCAUGGAACAUAUUUUGGUCUGCAGUCAUUCCACCUUUUCCUGAAUACCUCUUCAGUGACUCUGACUCCUGAGACAGGCUUAACCGUGAUUCCUCAUAAAAGCUUUGGGGUAACGUGAAGUGUGCUCACCAGACACUGGAUCUACUGGCACCUUUUACUUGGACUUCCCAGGCUCCAAAACUGU